rnacentral:rRNA from 1 species
AUUGAACGCUGGCGGCAGGCCUAACACAUGCAAGUCGAACGAGUGGCGGACGGGUGAGUAAUGUCUGGGUAACUGCCCGUUGUAGGGGGAUAACUACUGGAAACGGUAGCUAAUACCGCAUACCAUCGGAGGUGCCCAGCUGGGAUUGGCUAGUGGGGGGGGUAACGGCUCACCUGGGCGACGAUCCCUGGCUGGUCUGGGAGGAUGGCCAGCCACACUGGACCUGGUGGACGGUCCAGACUCCUACGGGAGGCAUCAGUGGGAAAUAUUGCACAUUGGGCGCAAGCCUGAUGAAGCCAUGCCGCGUGUAUGAAGAAGGCCUUCGGGUUGUAAAGUACUUUCAGCGAGGAGGCGUUACUCGCAGAAGAAGCACCGGCUAACUCCGUGCCAGCAGCCGCGGUAAUUC